GCUGGGUGUGGUGGCGGGCGCCUGUAAUCCCACCUACUUGGGAGGCUGAGGCAGGAGAAUUGCUUGAACCCAGGAGGCAGAGGUUGCAGUGUACCGAGAUCGUGCCACUGCAUUCCAGCCUGGGCAACAGAGCGAGACUCUGUCUCAA
rnacentral:SRP_RNA from 1 species